GUAGUUGAUUAAGUUAUAAAGUGAAAAUAAUACUCGUGUGAAUCAGAACUAGAACAGACGAAACAAAUAACUUCUAUACUGCUUGGGCAGCAAUUUCAGUUGAAAAGCUAAAUGUCAGACAAAGCUAUCAGCUUUCAAUUUCAAGAAAGGGAAAAAGAUGGCAGAUUUUGGGAUCAAAUGGUUCGCAAUCUAAGAAUCAUCUGCAUAUGGAUACAAACUUCACAUUGAACACAUGGACAAGUGAUUUCAAGGCAAUUGGACUAAUCCUAAAUAACAUAAAUUUCAGCAACAACUUGUCUAAAAGAGGGGUAAAGCAAUCACUGAAUACCAAAUUACAGUAAGCAUAAUUUUCCACUCGGUAUCCAUACAUGCAAGCAAAAAAGGAAUUACAAACUGAAAUUAAAUAAGAAACCCAAAUUUCAGCUUUAAACAAGAAUCACCCACUUGAAAAAGAAGUUAUCAGAAACAGUUUCAGAGGAUAAACGUACAGAUGUAUCAA
rnacentral:misc_RNA from 1 species